ensembl:lncRNA
CAACAACUUCUUUCUGGAAGGCAGAUCCAAGCAGCACAUCCCCAAGGCUGCUAGUCACCCAUGUUUCUAAAUCCAGCUGAGCAUCUUCCCAGAGUCUGAUUGUUUACUGUAUAGACCAAGGAGGACCAGAGUUCAAUGCCCCCCAGUUGUAUUCUAGUUGUGAGUGCCUCCGAUUGUGCUAUGUGGGACACCGCCUCAGCAUGGCCUGACGAGCGGUGCCAUGUCCACGCCCAGGAUCCGAACCGGUGAAACCCUGGGCCACUGAAGCAGAGCGUGCAAACUUAACCACUCAGCUACGGGGCCGGCCCCAAUCAAUAUGUUUUAAUGACUCUACUGCAGAUGCUGAAACAGUCAUACUCAUCGAAGUUCAUUUUGAGUCAAUCAGAUCAGUGUGGAAUGUCUUUCAACAUGGAAAUGGCCAAAGCUUCAUGGAUGCACUUUCUGGAAUAACGUGAUCAUGAGCUCAACCAAGGAUGACCUAUUGCAAAGAUUUUAAGAAGUCCUAGAAAAUUCUGGCUCAAUAUCUGGGUGACAGUCACAGCAUGCAUAAAAAAUGAAAGUGAAUCGCUACUGCCACUGUCACCUACUUAGAAUGCCUCAUCAGUGACUGCCCUUUUCAAAGAGGCUGUUCAGUUGUCAACUCCAAAAUAUAGGAACUCUCAGCCUUCCUGAGUCCAUUAGACUUUCUGUUUUUCUUUUAUGAAGGGAUCCAUUUCUGAGUCACUGUGUCACGUUCAUGGUAAAGAAAAAGAGCAGUAUGUAUAGAGAGUUGGACUCCUGAACAGGAAGGUGCCUUUUGUGAUAUCAAGCAGAUACUGGUUUCCCUGUGUGGGUCCAAAAGAGUCUGUACCACCUGGCUGGGUUCAGUUGUGCCUAUCCAUAAAGCGCCAGAUGGCCCCCAGACGCCAGCCUUGCUUACUCAUCAAAAGCGGUGUCAUCUCUAUACCAGCAUGAUGCACACAUUGAUAAAGUUAUGCGGUUAUCAGGGGACUGGGGACAUUUUAUAAACACACCAGCUUCUACGCCUUUACCAUUCAUAAUGUUUGCAGACCACUUUGGGGAUUUUUCUCCAAGGAUAAAUCAACCCCUUUAAUCUUGGUAUCAGCCAUACAUCACUGAGGUAUUUCGCUCUGUUGUUUUUUCGGUUUACAAGAUGAAUGAAACGCUUCCUUUUGGAUCUCCAGCCAGCAUAUGAUGCAAGAACCACUUGGCAACCUCAGACUCCUGGGAGCCCCAUUACACAGCUAGCUCUCUGACUCCCAAACCAUCAACAUUGUUGUUUUUAAUUAAUAGAGAUUUGGAACUACGUUUCUGUUCAAAAACCAGAUUUUAGAGAAAAAUCUCCCUGAAAUUAGCCCUGGGCAAGGUCCAGAAUUGACUAACCCACCUCACAUUUCUUCAGAGAUCUUUUCUUCGCCUUUCUGCUUGAAGAAGGGGAGUGAUAUCCACUGGUCUCCACCACCCCCUGUAAAGAAAAUCUUGCAAAUAACUCACUUUACAAUUUACCAAUAGCAGUAGCUAUUUCAUAUGACUUGAAUAAAGGUGAUUAUAUUUCUGUUUUUCAAAAUAAAUUUCAUCUGAAUAAUCUUUAUUCCAUUAUUUCUGUAUUUCAGUCCUUCAUAUUUUUUAAUCACAAAAAAAUGAUGCAUUUUAGAUUCAGGUGGCUCUGCCAUUGUCCAGUUCU